CUGAAGCCCAAAAAUAGCCAACGGUCCAAUAAGGCUCAUCAUUACUACACGCCGUUUUCUCUGUCCAACAACAAGGUGUAUGCCGCCGCUUCCUUCGCUUGCGUUUCGCUUCGAUCAUCGGCUCCCUGCAACUAUUAGUGAAAAAUGAAGAAAGGAUUGCACCCUCAGUUGCAAUGGAUAUCCUAUGUAACACAGAGUGGUAGAUUGAUGCACGUUAUGAUGACCAAAAUACACCAUGUUGGUAAAGUGUACCACUUUAGGGCCAAACGCCAAAUGGCCGAAAGUAUUGGGCAGGUUGCCAAGUUUAAGCGCCGUUAUGAAGAAAAGGGGAAUGCUGAAGAUAAUGAAAAUUGACUUUUUCUAAUUAGAUUUAUCGUGUAUUAGUCUUUGGAAUAAACAUGAAUCUGAUCACUCUCAUUUAAGUAACACUUUGUUUGUCAUGGUUAUAUUCUGCCUUUCUCAUAAUCAAUGGACUUUUACACCUUGCA